rnacentral:rRNA from 1 species
GCGCGCGAUACAGGGUGACAGCCCCGUACACAAAAGCGCAUGUGCUGUGAGCUCGAUGAGUAGGGCGGGACACGUGGUAUCCUGUCUGAAUAUGGGGGGACCAUCCUCCAAGGCUAAAUACUCCUGACUGACCGAUAGUGAACCAGUACCGUGAGGGAAAGGCGAAAAGAACCCCGGCGAGGGGAGUGAAAAAGAACCUGAAACCGUGUACGUACAAGCAGUGGGAGCACCCUUUGGGGUGUGACUGCGUACCUUUUGUAUAAUGGGUCAGCGACUUAUAUUCUGUAGCAAGGUUAACCGUAUAGGGGAGCCGGAGGGAAACCGAGUCUUAAUUGGGCGUUAAGUUGCAGGGUAUAGACCCGAAACCCGGUGAUCUAGCCAUGGGCAGGUUGAAGGUUGGGUAACACUAACUGGAGGACCGAACCGACUAAUGUUGAAAAAUUAGCGGAUGACCUGUGGCUGGGGGUGAAAGGCCAAUCAAACCGGGAGAUAGCUGGUUCUCCCCGAAAGCUAUUUAGGUAGCGCCUCGUGAAUUCAUCUCCGGGGGUAGAGCACUGUUUCGGCUAGGGGGCCAUCCCGGCUUACCAACCCGAUGCAAACUGCGAAUACCGGAGAAUGUUAUCACGGGAGACACACGGCGGGUGCUAACGUCCGUCGUGAAGAGGGAAACAACCCAGACCGCCAGCUAAGGUCCCAAAGUCAUGGUUAAGUGGGAAACGAUGUGGGAAGGCCCAGACAGCCAGGAUGUUGGCUUAGAAGCAGCCAUCAUUUAAAGAAAGCGUAAUAGCUCACUGGUCGAGUCGGCCUGCGCGGAAGAUGUAACGGGGCUAAACCAUGCACCGAAGCUGCGGCAGCGACACUGUGUGUUGUUGGGUAGGGGAGCGUUCUGUAAGCCUGUGAAGGUGUGUCGUGAGGCAUGCUGGAGGUAUCAGAAGUGCGAAUGCUGACAUAAGUAACGAUAAAGCGGGUGAAAAGCCCGCUCGCCGGAAGACCAAGGGUUCCUGUCCAACGUUAAUCGGGGCAGGGUGAGUCGACCCCUAAGGCGAGGCCGAAAGGCGUAGUCGAUGGGAAACGGGUUAAUAUUCCCGUACUUGGUGUUACUGCGAAGGGGGGACGGAGAAGGCUAUGUUGGCCGGGCGACGGUUGUCCCGGUUUAAGCGUGUAGGUGUGUGUUCCAGGUAAAUCCGGUUCACUUUAACACUGAGGCGUGACGACGAGGCACUACGGUGCUGAAGCAACAAAUGCCCUGCUUCCAGGAAAAGCCUCUAAGCAUCAGGUAACAUCAAAUCGUACCCCAAACCGACACAGGUGGUCAGGUAGAGAAUACCAAGGCGCUUGAGAGAACUCGGGUGAAGGAACUAGGCAAAAUGGUGCCGUAACUUCGGGAGAAGGCACGCUGACACGUAGGUGAAGUGAUUUACUCAUGGAGCUGAAGUCAGUCGAAGAUACCAGCUGGCUGCAACUGUUUAUUAAAAACACAGCACUGUGCAAACACGAAAGUGGACGUAUACGGUGUGACGCCUGCCCGGUGCCGGAAGGUUAAUUGAUGGGGUCAGCGCAAGCGAAGCUCCUGAUCGAAGCCCCGGUAAACGGCGGCCGUAACUAUAACGGUCCUAAGGUAGCGAAAUUCCUUGUCGGGUAAGUUCCGACCUGCACGAAUGGCGUAAUGAUGGCCAGGCUGUCUCCACCCGAGACUCAGUGAAAUUGAACUCGCUGUGAAGAUGCAGUGUACCCGCGGCAAGACGGAAAGACCCCGUGAACCUUUACUAUAGCUUGACACUGAACAUUGAGCCUUGAUGUGUAG